rfam:Gossypium hirsutum cultivar TM-1 chromosome 25, whole genome shotgun sequence
AAUCCAUGCAUCAGACAUUUCCGAAUUAAGUCUUUAAAUCGUUCCCAAGAUUCAUAUAGUGUUUCAUCCUCCGAUUUCCCAAAAGAUGUGAUGUUAUUUCUAAGUUU